GACGAACGCUGGCGGCGUGCUUAACACAUGCAAGUCGAACGGAAAGGCCCUGCUUUUGUGGGGUGCUCGAGUGGCGAACGGGUGAGUAACACGUGAGUAACCUGCCCUUGACUUUGGGAUAACUUCAGGAAACUGGGGCUAAUACCGGAUAGGAGCUCCUGCUGCAUGGCGGGGGUUGGAAAGUUUCGGCGGUUGGGGAUGGACUCGCGGCUUAUCAGCUUGUUGGUGGGGUAGUGGCUUACCAAGGCUUUGACGGGUAGCCGGCCUGAGAGGGUGACCGGCCACAUUGGGACUGAGAUACGGCCCAGACUCCUACGGGAGGCAGCAGUGGGGAAUAUUGCACAAUGGGCGGAAGCCUGAUGCAGCAACGCCGCGUGCGGGAUGACGGCCUUCGGGUUGUAAACCGCUUUCGCCUGUGACGAGGCGUGAGUGACGGUAAUGGGUAAAGAAGCACCGGCUAACUACGUGCCAGCAGCCGCGGUGAUACGUAGGGUGCGAGCGUUGUCCGGAUUUAUUGGGCGUAAAGGGCUCGUAGGUGGUUGAUCGCGUCGGAAGUGUAAUCUUGGGGCUUAACCCUGAGCGUGCUUUCGAUACGGGUUGACUUGAGGAAGGUAGGGGAGAAUGGAAUUCCUGGUGGAGCGGUGGAAUGCGCAGAUAUCAGGAGGAACACCAGUGGCGAAGGCGGUUCUCUGGGCCUUUCCUGACGCUGAGGAGCGAAAGCGUGGGGAGCGAACAGGCUUAGAUACCCUGGUAGUCCACGCUGUAAACGGUGGGUACUAGGUGUGGGGUCCAUUCCACGGGUUCCGUGCCGUAGCUAACGCUUUAAGUACCCCGCCUGGGGAGUACGGCCGCAAGGCUAAAACUCAAAGGAAUUGACGGGGCCCCGCACAAGCGGCGGAGCAUGCGGAUUAAUUCGAUGCAACGCGUAGAACCUUACCUGGGUUUGACAUGGAUCGGGAGUGCUCAGAGAUGGGUGUGCCUCUUUUGGGGUCGGUUCACAGGUGGUGCAUGGCUGUCGUCAGCUCGUGUCGUGAGAUGUUGGGUUAAGUCCCGCAACGAGCGCAACCCUUGUUCACUGUUGCCAGCACGUUAUGGUGGGGACUCAGUGGAGACCGCCGGGGUCAACUCGGAGGAAGGUGGGGAUGACGUCAAGUCAUCAUGCCCCUUAUGUCCAGGGCUUCACGCAUGCUACAAUGGCUGGUACAGAGAGUGGCGAGCCUGUGAGGGUGAGCGAAUCUCGGAAAGCCGGUCUCAGUUCGGAUUGGGGUCUGCAACUCGACCUCAUGAAGUCGGAGUCGCUAGUAAUCGCAGAUCAGCAACGCUGCGGUGAAUACGUUCCCGGGGCU
rnacentral:rRNA from 1 species